GACUAACGCUGGCGGCGUGCCUAACACAUGCAAGUCGAACGAAGCAGCAAUGCUUAGUGGCAGACGGGUGAGUAACGCGUAGAUAAUGUGCCCUCUUGCGGGGGAUACCGUUUCGAAAGGAACGUUAAUACCGCAUAACACCUUCGGUGGGCAUCCAUCGAGGGUCAAACUUCCGGGGCGGGAGGAGCAAUCUGCGUUCUAUCAGGUAGUUGGUGAGGUAACGGCUCACCAAGCCUACGACGGAUAACUGGUCUGAGAGGAUGAUCAGUCACACUGGAACUGAGACACGGUCCAGACUCCUACGGGAGGCAGCAGUGAGGAAUAUUGCGCAAUGGGCGAAAGCCUGACGCAGCGACGCCGCGUGGAGGAUGAAGGCCUUCGGGUUGUAAACUCCUGUCAGUGGGGAAGAGAAUGGACGGUACCCACUGAGGAAGCUUCGGCUAACUACGUGCCAGCAGCCGCGGUAAU
rnacentral:rRNA from 1 species